GACGAACCGAGCGAACGUUGUUCGGAAUCACUGGGCUUAAAGGGCGCGUAGGCGGGCUGUCAAGUCUGGGGUGAAAUCCCGCGGCUCAACCGUGGAACUGCCUCAGAUACUGACGGUCUCGAGGAGGUAGGGCGAGCGGAACUGAUGGUGGAGCGGUGAAAUGCGUUGAUAUCAUUAGGAACUCCGGUGGCGAAGGCGGCUCGCUGGACCUCUUCUG
rnacentral:rRNA from 1 species